GACGGAGGAUGCAAGCGUUAUCCGGAAUGAUUGGGCGUAAAGCGUCCGCAGGUGGCCGUUCAAGUCUGCUGUCAAAGACCGGGGCUUAACUUCGGAAAGGCAGUGGAAACUGAACAGCUAGAGUAUGGUAGGGGCAGAGGGAAUUCCUGGUGUAGCGGUGAAAUGCGUAGAUAUCAGGAAGAACAUCGGUGGCGAAGGCGCUCUGCUGGACCAUAACUGACACUCAGGGACGAAAGCUAGGUGAGCGAAUGGG
rnacentral:rRNA from 1 species